rnacentral:rRNA from 1 species
AGCGAACGCUGGCGGCAUGCCUAACACAUGCAAGUCGAACGAACCUUUCGGGGUUAGUGUCCGACGGGUUUGUAACCCGUGGGGACAUGCCCUUAUGUUCGGCAUAACUCUGGGAAACUUGUACUAAUAGGGAAUGUGCCCUUCUGCGGGAAGAUUAAUCGCCUUUAGAGCGGCACGCGUCUGAUUAGCUAGUUGGUUGAGGUAAUGGCUCACCAAGGCGACGAUCAGUAGCUGGUAUGAUAGGAUGAUCAGCCACAUUGGAACGGAGACACGGCCCGAACUCCUACGGGAGGGAGCAGUGGGGAAUCGUGCGAAAUGGGCGAAAGCCUGAAGGAGCCAUGCCGCGUGAAUGAUGAAGGUCUUAGGAUAGUAAAAUUCUUUCAACGGGGACGAUAAUGACGGUACCCGAAGAAGAAGCCCCGGCUAACUUCGUG